AAUCUUGUUUAGCGCAGAAACGCCAUUGCUUCUUGUCCAGGUUCUUGACAAUCGUAUAGAUGGGAAAGAACAAGAAGACGAUGUCUGGUGGCGAUAGCCAACACUCACCUUCCACUAUUUUUGUUAACAAUUUACCUUAUUCUUUCACUAAUGCUCAGUUGGAGGAAACUUUCAGUGAAGUUGGACCAAUUAGGCGGUGUUUUAUGGUUACCAAUAAAGGUUCAAGCGAGCACCGAGGUUUUGGCUUUGUCCAAUUUGCAUCUGUAGACGAUGCUAACCGUUCCAUCGAGCUAAAGAAUGGAUCAGUGGUUGGAGGAAGGAAAAUUGGCGUUAAACAGGCUAUGCAGCGUGCGCCUCGUGAACAACGGCAAUCUAAGGGGGAUCAAGAAAGCACUGCAAAAGCAAAAGACGGCAAGGAUGGUCCUUCUGCUGAAUCAGUUGAGGACAAACAAGCUUCAAACCUGGAGGGAUCAGAAAGUACUGCACAAGCAAAAGACGGCGAAGAUGGUCCUUCUACUGAACCAGCUAAGCACAAACAAGCUUCAAACCCACGAAGUACUGCACAAGCAAAAGACGGAAAAGAUGGUUUUUCUACUGAAGCAGCUAAGCACAAACAAGCUUCAAACCCGCCGGGAGCAGAGAACUCAGGGAAACCUACUAGGAAAAAAAAGGCUACAUUGCUUUCCAAUGGUGCAGCUGAUGAAGGAAAUUAUUCAGGAAAGCAGAGGGUCGCCAGGACAGUUAUAGUAGGAGGAAUUGUAAAUGCAAAUAUGGCAAAAGAGGCUCACCAGCUUGCGGCGGAGUGUGGCACUGUAUGUUCUGUUACUUAUCCUCUUCCAAAAGAAGAGAUUGAAAAUCAUGGGCUAGCACACGAUGGUUGUAAAAUGGAUGCUUCAUCUGUACUUUUCACUAGUGUCAAAUCAGCUCAAGCUUGUGUUGCAUCAUUACACCAAAAAGAAGUACAUGGAGCAAUGCUUUGGGCACGCCAACUUGGUGGAGAGGGCUCAAAGACUCAAAGGUGGAAGCUUAUAUUGAGGAAUCUUCCUUUUAAGGCCAAAGUGAAUGAGAUAAAAGAUAUGUUUUCAAAAGUUGGCUUCGUGUGGGAUGUGUUUAUCCCUAAGAAUUUUGAGACAGGGUUAUCAAAGGGAUUUGCAUUUGUCAAAUUUACAACGAAGCAGGAUGCAGAGAAUGCUAUUAAGACAUUUAAUGGGAAAACAAUGAAUAAACGAACUGUUGCUGUUGAUUGGGCCGUUUCCAAAAAGGUUUAUGCAUCUGGUGGUCAAUCUUCAGCAACUGCAAUAGAUGAACAGAGCGCAAAAGAUGAUAGUGGUAGUGAUACGGAGGAUGAAGACAUUGAUAUUGAUGGAAAAUCUCAGCAAGCUGAGGGGGACGAAGAUGACUCUGACCUUUUAGAAGAAGAUAAUCAGACCGAAGUUAACUUUGAUGAGGAAGCAGACAUUGCGAAAAAAAUUCUUCAGAACUUUAUUUCUCCAACUUCAAUAGGGACAGUUACUUCCGCUAAUGAUAUUUCAAGCCCCCAAAAGAAGGGUAAGGAAGUUGAAACUAUUCUCCCCCUGGAUGCAUCUACUCCGAAUAAAGCACUAGAUGACGUUUUGGGUAAGGACAAAGAGAUUAAAGCUAUGCAGAGUGAGGGAGCAGAUGAUCUGCAGGGGACAGUUUUCAUUAGCAACCUUCCUUUUGAUGUUGAUUAUGGAGAAGUCAAACAACGGUUUUCAGCUUUUGGUGAAGUGGAGUACUUUGCUCCAGUUCUUGAACAAGUCACCAAACGACCAAGGGGUACUGGAUUUCUCAAAUUUAAAACAGCAGCAUCUGCUGAAGCUGCUAUUUCCGCUGCCAGUGUUGUGGAUGGUUUAGGUGUCUUUCUGAAGGGUCGGCAAUUGAAGAUUUUAAAGGCCUUGGACAAGAAAGCUGCUAAUGAUAAGGAGUUGCAGAAGACCAAAAAGGAGGAUAAUGACCAUCGCAAUCUUUACCUGGCAAAGGAGGGUCUUAUUUUGGAGGGUACCCCAGCUGCUGAAGGUGUUUCAGUGAGUGAUAUGUCAAAGCGCAAGGGGCUGCAAGAAAAGAAGAUUAUCAAGCUGAAGUCCCCAAAUUUCCAUGUGUCAAGGACACGGCUGAUUAUGUACAAUAUUCCCAAGUCAAUGACUGAAAAACAGCUGAAGACACUUUGCAUUGAUGCAGUUACUUCUCGUGCUACUAAGCAAAAGCCUGUUAUCCGGCAGAUAAAGUUUUUAAAGGACGUCAAAAAAGGACAAGCAGUGGCAAAGAAUCAUUCUCGUGGAGUAGCUUUUCUUGAGUUCUCAGAGCAUGAACAUGCGCUUGUGGCUUUGAGAGUUCUUAACAACAAUCCUGAGACUUUUGGUCCCGAGCAUCGACCAAUAGUGGAGUUUGCUCUUGAUAAUAUCCAAACAAUGAAGCUUCGUCAGAAAUUUCAGCAGCAAGGUUUUAACAGGAACAAAGAAGAUUUGCAGAAGAAUGACAAUACAAAUGAACGGGAUCCCCGCGAUAAACAGUCAAGAAAACGAAAGGCAACAGGAGAAGAUGAAGUAAAUAACAAGCGUGUCAGAGGUGCCACUUUGAGGGAAGGCAAUGUGUCAUCAGUUUCAGGUAGUAAAGAUGGAGAUCAACCGAAAAACAAAGGUGUUAAAGGAGCCACCUUCUCUGCAGAAGAAAGAGAUGAGAAGAAGAACAAGAAGAAGGAAGGUAGAAAGCUAGGAGGUGCAAAAGAGAAACUAAAAGAUAAUCAAGAAGGAAAAAGGCAUGGUGGCUUUGGUAGUGAAAAAUCAGGUAAUGCUACUCCCAAGGUUGGACAUAAAGAAGAUGUUGCAGCAAGAGCAACAAAGAGGAAAUUUGAAGAUAAAACUAACCAACAAAAACAAAGCAUCAGUUUACAGAACAGGAAAAAGGAUAAAAAGAAGAAAGACGCAGUUGGACGAGAUGGAGUAGACAAGCUAGAUAUGCUUAUUGAACAAUAUACAUCCAAAUUCACUCGCAACAGUUCUAAUCAAACUGAUAGUAACCAGCAGCGCUCUAAGCAGCUUAAGAGAUGGUUCCAAUCCUAAACCAUUCACAGGUUUUUGUGUAGCUUAAUUUUAUGGUGAUAUUAAGAAGAGUUGUGUUUUGUUCUCUUCCUAGCCCCUAAGACCAGGGACUUGCAGGAUUUGAGACGAAGGGAUUGAAAAUAUGCAAAAAUGUCCCAGUUGAGAGUUAGAACCUAUUCCUUAUACAUUUUUUGAACUACCUUCACUGCUAUGUUGGUAAUUUU